GUUCGGUUUCCGGCCUCGGAAAUUUGGAGAAAAAUGUUGUCACCCUGGAAAUAGAAUCAAAUCUGACUUGAGUUCACACUCAAAUGAAGCAAAUAUCCCAACGUAACAUAUAAAUUAGGCUGAGGCCGACAACAUAUUUUGCUCAAGACAGUGCUUACUUUUAGAAAAGACUCAUAUUUUUUGCUUCUUGUCUGUAAAUUGGAUAUUGAACUGAACAAAGGCCCUGUUGACCCUCCCAGCAGGGGUUGAACCCAGGACACCUGGCAUGUCUUUCACUUUAUUGCAAGAGAAGCAGUACCCUCAACAAGGGGUGUUACAAGGAGAAAAAGGUCAGAAGAAACCGUACCAGACCAAACGUACCAUACGUAAAGUGAACUCUCAUUCAUCCCUGCCUUUCCUUUGCUCAUUUCUCCUCCUCUCUUCUGAAAUUGUGCAGCUAAUGGUUUUGGGCUUUUCUUCUCUAUGUUUAUAACAAAAAAAGACAUGUCUGAUUAUUCCCCAAGAAUGACCCCCUACACCAGGAGGGCAACUCCACAAGGGGGCACACAUUCCCCUUAUAAACAACAAUGUUCAUAUCUCAAGAUGCCACAAGAAAACCGUUUCACAUAGCAUUUUUAUGAAAAUGCUGUCCCGUGCAGCAAUAGUGCACAUACUUUUUCCAAAAAAUGCCACUGUUCCAUAGUAUCAUAUGGGUCUCACUUUUAAGCAUAUUUUGUUUACUCUUGACUGUGGUUAAGUUCUUUUUACACUCGUGUGGCCAUUAAGAAUGUUAAAAAAUGAGAUGCGUGACCCAAAGAACACCACAAUUGAUAAAACGUACUCGUAUAGCUAAAGGGUCAUUGUCACUUUCAGGUGCCUUUAGUGUCCUAAUCAGAAUCACUCGUCAGGAAAAUGUAAGAGAAUAAUUAAACGCUAAAGUCU